GAAGACACCUGCCAUGAACUCUUUCUCCAGCAGCGCUGAGGAGUGCGACAUUCAGGAAAUGGCAAUGCGGCAGUAAGGAAGGAAUCUGUGCCCUUUAAUGACCUAGAGGAGUAGAUCCACUUCGCCACCUGGACCGGCCAGACUAAUGUGGCCCGGACUCUCAGCUGGACUGACAGGCAAAAUAUCUGUGUCCGUGUACGUUAUUCAUCUGUCACUGGGUCAAGGUCUCCGGGACAGACCCCCUACAGCUGGCGCUCCGUGUGAGGAAUGCUGCGAAGGAUCACGACGGACCCCCCAAAAUGAAGGUGAAAAGGACCGCAGAGUCAGAUACAAAGCUGGAAUAAGAGGAAUGACCACUUCGUCUGACAGACCUGUUGCUGCACACAUCUGUACCCUUCGGUCAACAGAACCCGAUGCAAAGAACAGAAAAGGGAGAGAUGUGGGAGUUCAGACAGGCUGGUGGCGUGUCCAGAAUUUAUUCCUUCCGGCCUAUAUCACCCAAACCUGAAAAGGGAAAGAAGGAUGUGAAGAAAAUAAUAUAGGAGGAAGAAGAAUGAAGAAACAGCGGGCAAGAAAAAGAAGAAGACUAGAAAGAGAAGAUGAAGCAGGAUAAAGUGGAGGAGAAAUAGCUUUACUGAAUGAGAUGGAGUUUUUACCAAGUUUCCUGGGCUGGUCUCAAACUCCUGAGCUCAAGCAAUCUGCCUGCCUCGGCCUCCCAAAAUGCUGGAAUUAUAGGCGUGAGCCACCGCACUCAGCCAAUCUUGGUUCUUAUUUAUACAAAUUUUUCUAUAUGCUAGACCUCUGGCUACUAAUUAUAAAA
rnacentral:lncRNA from 10 species